AUAAUAUACACAUAAUGUCUAUACUGUGACCUACUUCCUAAUUAUGUAUCAUCUUCAGAUUUAAAAUGAAACCAUUACUUAUAAUCAUGGAGAUAUCAUUUGAUUUGAUUGAUUGAUGUUUAAUGCCACUUUCAGCACUAUUGAUCCCAGUACUUAUAGACAUGGAGAUAUGAUUUGAUUUGGUUGAUUGGUGUUUAACGCCACUUUCAGCACUAUUAGUACUAGUACUUAUAGACAUGGAGAUAUGAUUUGAUUGAUUGGUGUUUAACGCCACUUUCAGCCGUAUAGGUACUGGUACUUAUAGACAUCGAGAUGUGAUUUGAUUUGAUUGAUGUUUAACGCCACUUUCAGCCCUAUUGGUAUUAGUACUUAUAGACAUGGAGAUGUGAUUUGAAUGAUUGGUGUUUAACGCCACUUUCAGCCCUAUUGGUACUAGUACUUAUAGACAUGGAGAUGUGAUUUGAAUGAUUGAUGUUUAACGCCACUUUCAGCCCUAUUGGUAUUAGUACUUAUAGACAUGGAGAUAUGAUUUGAUUGAUUGAUGUUUAACGCCACUUUCAGCCCUAUUGGUACAAGUACUUAUAGACAUGGAGAUGUGAUUUGAUUGAUUGAUGUUUAACGCCACUUUCAGCCCUAUUGGUACUGGUACUUAUAGACAUUGAGAUGUGAUUUGAUUUGAUUGAUUGAUGUUUAACGCCACUUUCAGCCCUACUGGUACUAGUACUUAUAGACAUGGAGAUGUGAUUUGAUUGAUUGGUGUUUAACGCCACUUUUAGCACUAUUGAUCCCAGUACUUAUAGACAUGGAGAUGUGAUUUGAUUUGAUUGAUUGAUGUUUAACGCCACUUUCAGCCCUAUUGGUAUUAGUACUUAUAGACAUGGAGAUAUGAUUAUAUUGAUUGAUGUUUAACGCCACUUUCAGCCCUAUUGGUACUAGUACUUAUAGACAUGGAGAUGUGAUUUGAUUUGAUUGAUUGGUGUCUAACGCCACUUUCAGCACUAUUGAUAAUAGUAUUUAAAGUCAUGGAGAUAUGAACGCAGAUGUAAAACUCAAAAAAGGCAGUGUAAACUGUUUACUUUUAUGUACAAGAUAUUACGAUAUAAUAAGAUAUUUUUAUUCCAUUUAAAUAGCCCAUGAGAUUAAAGUAGUUUAAUACGAUGAUUUUUCAUAAUUGACAAAAAUAUUGUUGUCAAUCAUAUAUAAAUAUGAAUAUAAUCAACUAAAUGUUAAGCCAGUCCAAAGCCAUAAGCAUGUGUGUAAACAUGCAGUUAUAAAACAGAUAAUAUAUAAUAUUAACAGGCAAAUAUUCUUAAUGGGUUACAUAUAAACAUAUCUGUACAAUAUUGAUAGUUUUCUGAUUUCAAGACAUUCAUUAAUAUAUAUAUAUUCCAAUAAUUGUUAAUACCUCUAGGUUUUCUUGAAUAAAAAGACAAUUUGAAAUUGGCAUUUGAGUUUAACAUUUUGACAAUUUACAAAUGCUAUUAUAGAACUAUUUUUUCAAGAGAUUAUAACGAGGACAUUCACAUUUACAAUGUUUUUCAUCUUCAACUUUAUCCAACAUAACCUUUGUGAUUUAUCUAUAUAAUUGUUUUUUUUGCAUAUCCAUCCGUCUCUGUUUUUAGAGGGUGUGCACCUAUCUUUCAUACUGCUGGUCUAUCUUUAAAUGCUUUCAAUUCCAAAUAAUUUGCUGUAUUUUUUUAAUCAUGUUAAUUGAAAAACAAGCCAAGAGCUAGUUACCUUAUAUGAUUUAACAGUAUUUUCACUAAAAUCUUUCCAAUUGUUCAGAAAAACAAGAUUUGUAUAUAUGUAUAAAAAGAGAUUUGUUAAUAUCAUGAAUAUAGACAGCAACCUAACAAUACAAUAGAGGAAAAAAAAAAAAAAAACAAAAACAAAA